AUGCCUGGAGGUAUUCAGGGCCCCAGGGUCUCCCUAUAUGCGGACGACGCUGCCAUUUUUCUAUCCCCCACGACACAUGAUGUGGAAGGCCUGGCUAGCAUUCUACAGAGUUUUGGGGUAGUCUCUGGCCUCGUGACAAAUGUGACCAAGAGCUCCAUCGCCCCCAUCCAAUGCGCCAACAUUAACUUGGAGGAGAUUCUGGUGAACUUCCCGGCGACUACGGCCCCCUUCCCCAUUAAGUAUCUGGGGCUGCCCCUCUCCCUCGGAAGACUUAGGCGUGUGGACCUUAAACCCUACAUCGACAAAGCAGUGGCUCGUCUUAGCCCGUGGAAAGGAAAGUUCCUGAAUCGUGUCGGGUGCACUGCUCUGGUUAAGGCUGUGCUCUCCUCCAUGCCAAUCUUCUUGCUGACGGCUUUCAAGGCUGACAAAGGCAUUCUCAAGGCCUUUGCGAAGAUCAGUUGCGGCAUGCUCUGGGCCUGUAAGGAGGCGGUUAGUGGAGGGAAAUGCAAAGUCAACUGGCAAAAGGUCUGCCGCCCCAAGGAGCUCGGUGGUUUGGGGGUUUUGGACCUGGAGAGGUUCUCCCGAGCCCUAAGGCUUCGCUGGUUAUGGUAUGAGUGGAAGGCUCCUGAGAAGCCAUGGGUGGGCUCUAAAACCCCCAACGACGCCUCAGACCUUGACCUCUUCAAUGCGGCUACUCGUGUCACCAUCGGAAAUGGCGCCAAGGCCUCCUUCUGGUCAUCUUCAUGGCUCCAUGGCGCCCCGCCAAAAGACCUGGCUCCCCUAAUUUUCAAGUCUUCCAAGAGGAAGAAUCGGACGGUCCAGGACGCUCUCGCUGAUAACAACUGGAUCUCGGACAUUGCGGUGGAUGCGUUCACUACCGAUCACAUGGAAAAAUACAUCCACCUCUGGGAACUCUUGUCAGAUAUCCAGCUUCAUCCUGACACUGAGGACUCCAUUACCUGGUCCUUGACCCCUAAUGGGUGCUACUCGGCAAUCUCCGCCUACAAGGUCCAGUUCCUUGCCUCUUUGCCCUGCCAGUUCGGGAACAUCGUGUGGAAGACCUAG
rnacentral:rRNA from 1 species